rnacentral:lncRNA from 1 species
CCAACUCCACCAAUAUAGUAUUUUGAUCUGAUCAUCUUAAUCUAUUCCUCUAAAUAGGCUUUCCAUGUCUGUAACAGUGUGAAGCUAUACAUAGCUAUUAAAGAUAUAGAUUUUCCAACUUUAUUUUUUCCAUAAAAAUAAAGACCCACUAUGUGAUAAGGUUUGAAUUCCUGUUUUACUGCUGAAUCUGCAGUGAAAGAGAAAGAACUAAGGAUCCAUUUCUUUCUCAGAUACAGAUGGAACGGGAACCUUUAUUUUUAUUUUUUUAAACUCAACGAGUGACUGAGUGGACUAUCUAUGGCUUUUAUUUCCCUUUAUCCCCUGUGAAUGGUAUGUGACUGAUGUGUUUUGUCCCCUUCCUAUAAUGGUAUGUGAAACUAGGCUUCUCAACUCGGCUUGUUGGUACAUGCCUCCAUAGAUCUGCAAAAUUAAUAGGAAUUAAGUUGAUUGUCAAAAUUUCCAUUUGACCAUAUAAAUGCAUUACACAGGUUUACUGGAUAAUCAUUUUAGAUGUUGAACCUAUGAGCAGUUAGGAAAAUGCUUGGUUGAUAUGUAUUCUGGAAAAUCAUGUACUAAAGACACAAGCAUAGUGCAUCAAUGUCUUUUUCUGGUGCUUGCUGCGUUUAUUACUCAUGUUUCUUAGAUGUUUCCAUGCCUCACUUAUCCUUACCAUCAAAUUCUUUUACUGUUACUACACAUUUUAGGAUGAUGGAUACAUACCAAAACACUCUGUUCUGGAGCUUCAGAAAGCAUGGCCAGGUUCAGAGGU